rnacentral:rRNA from 1 species
AUUGAACGCUGGCGGAAUGCUUUACACAUGCAAGUCGAACGGCAGCACGGACUUCGGUCUGGUGGCGAGUGGCGAACGGGUGAGUAAUACAUCGGAACGUGCCCAAUCGUGGGGGAUAACGUAGCGAAAGCUACGAUAAUACCGCAUACGAUCUAAGGAUGAAAGCGGGGGAUCGAAAGACCUCGCGCGCUUGGAGCGGCCGAUGGCAGAUUAGGUAGUUGGUAGGGUAAAGGCCUACCAAGCCGACGAUCUGUAGCUGGUCUGAGUGGAUGAUCAGCCACACUGGGACUGAGACACGGCCCAGACUCCUACGGGAGGCAGCAGGGGGGAAUUUUGAACAAUGGACGCAAGUCUGAUCCAGCCAUUCCGCUUGCAGGAUGAAGGCCCUCGGGUUGUAAACUGCUUUUGUACAGAACGAAAAGGCUCUGGUUAAUACCUAGGGCUCAUGACGGUACUGUAAGAAUAAGCACCGGCUAACUACGUGCCAGCAGCCGCCGUAA